AACGCUAGCUACAGGCUUAACACAUGCAAGUCGAGGGGCAUCAGGAAGAAAGCUUGCUUUCUUUGCUGGCGACCGGCGCACGGGUGAGUAACACGUAUCCAACCUGCCCUUUACUCGGGGAUAGCCUUUCGAAAGAAAGAUUAAUACCCGAUAGCAUAAUGAUUCCGCAUGGUUUCAUUAUUAAAGGAUUCCGGUAAAGGAUGGGGAUGCGUUCCAUUAGGUUGUUGGUGAGGUAACGGCCCACCAAGCCUUCGAUGGAUAGGGGUUCUGAGAGGAAGGUCCCCCACAUUGGAACUGAGACACGGUCCAAACUCCUACGGGAGGCAGCAGUGAGGAAUAUUGGUCAAUGGGCGCUAGCCUGAACCAGCCAAGUAGCGUGAAGGAUGAAGGCUCUAUGGGUCGUAAACUUCUUUUAUAUAAGAAUAAAGUGCAGUAUGUAUACUGUUUUGUAUGUAUUAUAUGAAUAAGGAUCGGCUAACUCCGUGCCAGCAGCCGCGGUAAUACGGAGGAUCCGAGCGUUAUCCGGAUUUAUUGGGUUUAAAGGGAGCGUAGGUGGACUGGUAAGUCAGUUGUGAAAGUUUGCGGCUCAACCGUAAAAUUGCAGUUGAUACUGUCAGUCUUGAGUACAGUAGAGGUGGGCGGAAUUCGUGGUGUAGCGGUGAAAUGCUUAGAUAUCACGAAGAACUCCGAUUGCGAAGGCAGCUCACUGGACUGCAACUGACACUGAUGCUCGAAAGUGUGGGUAUCAAACAGGAUUAGAUACCCUGGUAGUCCACACAGUAAACGAUGAAUACUCGCUGUUUGCGAUAUACAGUAAGCGGCCAAGCGAAAGCAUUAAGUAUUCCACCUGGGGAGUACGCCGGCAACGGUGAAACUCAAAGGAAUUGACGGGGGCCCGCACAAGCGGAGGAACAUGUGGUUUAAUUCGAUGAUACGCGAGGAACCUUACCCGGGCUUAAAUUGCAGUGGAAUGAUGUGGAAACAUGUCAGUGAGCAAUCACCGCUGUGAAGGUGCUGCAUGGUUGUCGUCAGCUCGUGCCGUGAGGUGUCGGCUUAAGUGCCAUAACGAGCGCAACCCUUAUCUUUAGUUACUAACAGGUUAUGCUGAGGACUCUAGAGAGACUGCCGUCGUAAGAUGUGAGGAAGGUGGGGAUGACGUCAAAUCAGCACGGCCCUUACGUCCGGGGCUACACACGUGUUACAAUGGGGGGUACAGAAGGCAGCUAGCGGGUGACCGUAUGCUAAUCCCAAAAUCCUCUCUCAGUUCGGAUCGAAGUCUGCAACCCGACUUCGUGAAGCUGGAUUCGCUAGUAAUCGCGCAUCAGCCACGGCGCGGUGAAUACGUUCCCGGGCCUUGUACACACCGCCCGCCAAGCCAUGGGAGCCGGGGGUACCUGAAGUACGUAACCGCAAGGAUCGUCCUAGGGUAAAACUGGUGAA
rnacentral:rRNA from 1 species